ensembl:lncRNA
UGGGCUGGUGGGAAGGCAGGACCCUGGGCUGGAUCUCCCCUCUGAGGGCUGGGUGGAGCAGCUUCAGCAGAGGUCUGGAGUCCUGGAGGCUGGAGGCUCUUGGAGGAAAGGACUGUCGCCUUGAGAAACCAACCUCCAGGUCCUGGCUGUCUGAGGAGCUGAGGCAGUGGCUGGAUAUGGAGUCCCUUCUGCUGGCUGAAAAGGGUCCCCACUCUCUCCUGGGGCUCCAGCCCAUGGCAGAGGAGUUCAGGUAAGCCCUCAUGCCCCUGGGUCUCUCUGGCAUCCACUGGAGAGAAGCAGUGAGUCAUAGC